GUUUUGGGCGUCGAUGUUCCUUCGAUGGCAGGCAACCACAGGGAGAGAGGGCGUGGAGCUUAUCCGUAUUUGAUCUGGAUUGCUGGUGCCAUCAGGUCAAACUCGCUCUCCUUAAAUCUGUUGACGGGUUGGCGCAAGGUGACACACUCACACUGGCUCUUGCAGUUAAGCCAUUUCUUGAUGCAUCCUGGAAAUGAUGUUCAGUGAGGAUGUCAAGCACGACUUGCAUUUCUGCAUGGAUCGUCUCAACUGUGUCAUACCUGCAGGCUUACAACUUCAUCAAUCAGGGAUCAGAGAAAAGUCUCAGGGAGCCAAGUCAGGUUUGUCAUUGGCUAGAGCCUAACAUGUGCCUUUCCCAGAUGUGGUGGCAGUGGUGGUGGUGGUGGCAAGAGAAUAAUGGUUAGGAAGCAACUACAGCAAUUCUGUUAUGUGUCAGGAGGAGAAGCUGCAGUGAGGUGCUGUUACAGAAAGCAUUGUGUGGUGUUCCUUGGAGAACCAUCCCAGGUGUGUUGUAAAGUGUGCUGUGGAGGAAUAGACCAUUCAUUGUGUAGUGUCUCGCUGCUGCUUUUCCUCCCUGUAAUUUGCACACCACUUUCACAAAUUAAUUUUGCUGUUUAUGCUUAUUCCUGCAUUUUUAUUUUGUCAACAUGUGGCUUUAGUGAUGACACAAAAGUCCUUGCUAGGGGCUGUGGUAAGGUGUCAAAGACACCUUACUGAGAGUACAAGUUUCUUUGAACAGCUGCUAUGAUGAUGUACAAUCAGUUUCAGUCAUAAUCAUAUUCUUCUCUCAUUGUACCAAGAGCUGGAUAGUUUUGUCAUUUACUGUAUGACACUAAUGAAAGGAUAGAUGAUAAUGUAGUGUGGUAAGAAACAUUUUAUUAAUUCAUAAGGGCAUAUUAAUAGAAUUUUCAAGGAUAUUUUACUACCGUACCAGUUUAUAUACAUAACUGUUCUGUGGUCUGUAGUCAGGACAGUGUCAUUGUGCCUGAAGCAGCUAACAUUCUUGCUCCCUUCAGCAGCAAGUCCUCUCAGGUACAAUCAUUUUCAGCUGCAGUGGGCCAAAGCUGUGAGUGAGGGGUGAAAAUAAGGAAGCAGCAGUUAAUUAAUUGAGUGGCCAAGAGUGCUAAAACUCAGGUAGAGGCAAGUGAACCCAGCUCCUGCAGUGACCAUCUCUCACUCUCAUUCUUUUGAUAUAAGGAAGUAGUCACAGACAAGCCAAGAUCCUUUGCCUUUGCCCUCCAUUGAUUGUCAUUGUUGUUGCCUUCUUAUUCCACACGUGCUUUGAGUUUGGCUUCCUAUUGUGGAGAGCAAGGGAGAGAGAUGUUUACUAUGGGAGUUGGGAUCACCAUCCUCUACCUGAGGAUUGCCACUGUUGGGAUUGUUAAUUAAUUGUUGCCUUAUUUCCACUCUUCAUUCAAUCAAACCUUUAUGGUCUGUUGUGCUUGAAGCUGAUGGUGUUUACAGGAGUAUUGUGGCUUUCCCAGGUGGAGCAUUGGAAAAGUCAGAUAGUGUAGGAGCCAGGAUCAUUUGCCUCUACCUGAGGAUUAGUAUAUAAGGAAAAUGUUCAAUUAAUUCUUGCUUUAUUUCUCUCUCCCUCUCUCUCUCUCCCUCUCCAUCUCUCUCUCUCUCUCUCUCUCCAUCUCUCUCUC